UACGGGGGGGGGGCAAGCGUUGUUCGGAAUUACUGGGCGUAAAGGGCUCGUAGGUGGCCCAACUAAGUCAGACGUGAAAAUCCCCAGGCUCAACUUGGGAACUGCGUCUGAUACUGGAUGGCUUGAAUUCGGGAGAGGGAUGCAGAAUUCCAGGUGUAGCGGUGAAAUGCGUGAGAUAUCUGGAGGAAUACCGGUGGCGAAGGCG
rnacentral:rRNA from 1 species